GAAAAAAAGUAUGUAACAAAAGACAGAGAAUAUCAGCUAUUUGAAAGUUUAUCUUUUAAGCAGUUCUGCUUUCCAAAAAAUGUUUCUUAAUUUAUUUUAUUUUAAUAAUGGAUGUUGUAUGUGGCAUUUUGCCUUCCAUUUUCAUUCUUAUUUGGCAUCCACUUAAUAUGCAGCUUGAAACAAUCAAAACUUGUUUUUCAGAUAUUUCGGAUCUCCCCUCACAUGUCAUUUCAAAAGCAGGGUCACAAACAAGGAGGGAAAAUGCAGUCCAAUCCUUAUAAGCUGAAAAAGUAUGUGUGCUUUGGACCAGUACCAGCACGCAAUUAUUCCACAACACAGUCCACCCAUCACUGGUCCUGGCGACCGACGAGAUGAAAAGAGCAGGUUUAAGACUGAAUUUAUGGUAUGUGUGGAUGGCUCAGCUGAGGCGAAUGGAGGAGCUGUGUGAAGAGCAGACAACGAGCUGAGGAUAAUCUUUGGAAGGCCGAUUUAGAAAUAAUGAGAUUGCUGAAUGAGAUCAGCACAGAUCCAACGAUGCGGUGAGGAGAAUGGAUAAACCAAUCAUAGAGCCCAUUAAAGUCACACCUGGAGAGAAGACAACAGGUCUCAAUUACCAACUACUGAAUUACCAGCAUACUGAAACGUCAGAGACAUUGAGGAUAUGCUAGUGAGGAAAACUCUUAUGUAAAGCUAAUUAAAUGUUUAAAAUGCAUUUCAGUACAGACACUUCAAGAGGAUUUCAGAGCAUCUUGUUUUACCAUGCUUAAGUGGCAACCGCAGAGAAAACAUUUCAGAUAAUGUUCAAUCACACUGUAGCAUUUGCUCUGGUACAGUAUGUGCCAAUAAAAAAGAAGAAACACAAACAUACACACACACACAGUUAUUUGGCCAUUUCUGUGUAUAUGGUUUUUAAAUACAUUUUGUAGGUUCUUGACGAUAGAACUUGGAGAUUAUGGAAACAAAUGUUGUUUAUGUGGGUCAGUGCAUCCAUAUAAACAAGGAUCAAUGAAAAAUUAAGUCUGAAAUCAUAAAAAUGAGUUUUUAAUAAUUAGACACAAAUGCAAGGUUCUAAGAAAGUUUUUAUUUUUUCAAUUGAUUUUUUUUUUUUCAAUUGAUUGGUUUUGUACAUUUUUACUAAAAAUGUAGCAUAAGCAAGUAAAGAUUGCAAACAAAAAUUAUAUAUAUAUAUUUGAUGAUUGCUUUGAUUUUUCAUACAAUCUCUGGAAAGUUGCAACACAAAUUCAAGUAAGCCGCACAAAUUCAAUUCUAAUUAAUUUCAAAAUCCAAACUAAUUUCAAUUUAGCAUUUGAAAACAGCUUAUAAGAGGUUAUUUUUGUAUAAAUAGCAUUUCAUAUGUAUUUUUAGAUGGAGGCAAACAAAUUUGUGUCAAAUCAUUGACCCUGUAUAUGUAGGCCUGCAGAAGUUCACAGGUAUUGAUCUGAGCAGGUAUACGUGAUGUUCGUGCAGCCCUCACUACCUGCAGUUCUUUUUAAAGAGCUGACGUACUGCUGGCCUGACCCAUCCAGUAACAACAUGCUUCAGGGUCCUCUCAGCAGCCGAAAGCGCGAGUGCUCCAAACAGCUCGAUCAAAGAUGAAACACUAUCAUCAUAUUCAAAUUGGUAGAUUUGUGUUUUGAGACAUGACUCAUAGGGCAUGAAUAAACUACGAAAAGCUUUAAAACAUCUGAAUCAACACCGUUGCUACUAACUACUGCUGUUAUGUCCAUAAAUUCACAAGACACAUAUGUUGAUCUUCUAUGGCUCAUUGACAGGUCUCCCACAAAUUGAAACAGUUAUACAUAGUUAGACACGGUUGCCAAAAUAGCAUCUUCUGUUCACCACUCACAGACCAUACAAACCUGAAUGCAUUCGCAAGAAAUAAAUCAUCAAGAAACAUGAUAAAUGACCAAAAAAAAACAUUUUCUUCAGCUGCAGCAAAAAAAAAAAAAAAAUGGUCAGGUCAAAAAGUAACAUAUGAAUCAGUAAUUGAUGUGCGUUUUGAAAGUUCCUUACAAAUAUGGAGGUGCUGGAGGCACAGUCACUGUGUACCGCCCAUUACCUUAAGUUUGUUACCAUGUGUUCAAUAUUAGAUUUCUCCUAUGAUGGUCCAGUGAAGGGAGCUGUACUGCUUGAAACUCAUGCAUCAUUAAUCAAAGCUCCUAUUUCAGUACAAAAUAUUUGAGUAGGACCCUAGCAGGAUUGUUUUUGGAAUAACAUUUAGAGAAAAACUCAAUUAAAGGUUAAUGUGAAACUUGUUUUAUAGGCUUUAAUAAAAAGUUAUGUCAGAAAACACUGAUAUUAGACACGAACCAAAAGAGGCAUAUAAAAGUUACGUAAUAGCAUGCAUUGCACAUAUGGUGAAACAAUGGUGUUAUUGAGAGUCAGCAAGGUUAACAAACCAAAAACAUUACCAACAAAACCAGCAGUGGACCAGAAUUGCAUUCAUGCAGAUAUAAACCAGACUUUUCAGCAGGGUGGUAAAUUUGCAUAGCAAAUAUCAAAUACACAUUAAAAUGUAAAAAUGAAUUUAAAAAAUAACAUAUGUACAUUUAAAAUAUAAAAGUUCACAUAUAAAUAUGUGCAUACACACCCACACACACUUUUAUUAAAAUCCCAGUUUGAACUUUUGAACACUGGGGUCAAGUAAAUGUUGUAUGUUUUAGUCACUGCACCAGAGCUCAGUGGUUGAUUUCACAUUAUGCCAUGACGACA
ensembl:lncRNA